rnacentral:rRNA from 1 species
UACGGAGGGUCCAAGCGUUAUCCGGAAUCAUUGGGUUUAAAGGGUCCGUAGGCGGUUUAGUAAGUCAGUGGUGAAAGCCCAUCGCUCAACGGUGGAACGGCCAUUGAUACUGCUAGACUUGAAUUAUUAGGAAGUAACUAGAAUAUGUAGUGUAGCGGUGAAAUGCUUAGAGAUUACAUGGAAUACCAAUUGCGAAGGCAGGUUACUACUAAUAUAUUGACGCUGAUGGACGAAAGCGUGGGGAGCGAACAGG